GAAAUGCGAUAAGUAAUGUGAAUUGCAGCAUUCAGUGAAUCAUCGAAUCUUUGAACGCACCUUGCGCUCCUUGGUAUUCCUUGGAGCAUGCCUGUUUGAGUAUCAUGAAAUCUUCAAAGUAAAUCUUUUGUUAACUCAAUUGGUUUCUACUUUGGUAUUGGAGGUCUUUGCAGCUUCACACCUGCUCCUCUUUGUUCAUUAGCUGGAUCUCAGUGUUAUGCUUGGUUCCACUCGGCGUGAUAAGUUAUCUAUCGCUGAGGACACUGUAAAAGGUGGCCAAGGUAAAUGCAGAUGAACCGCUUCUAAUAGUCCAUUGACUUGGACAAUACUUUUAUGAUCUGAUCUCAAAUCAGGUAGGACUACCCGCUGAACUUAGGC
rnacentral:misc_RNA from 1 species